rnacentral:rRNA from 1 species
AUGGUUACUGGCCGUGGGAUUCCCGGGAACAAAAACACCAUUCAAGAAUUCAGACCAUGUUCACCGGAUGAACGUGCAGCUGGGAAUCUGCGUAUGAACUUGUUUAGAUCAGAAAUUUGGUGCUAUUAUCAGACAGAAAAUGAUCAUAAACUGGAACGCCGGACAAAUCAUCUGGAAUUCGGUGCUACCAUCAGACAAAUCCUUGAGCAAGCAUGCCGCGAAAAUGAACAGACUGCAAGACAAGAAGACAGCAAGAGCACUGCAUCAUGGAUCCGAACUGAAAUUGUCACUUAUAUUAUGAUCACAUCGCUACAUCCCUUAAUAGAUACAUAA